rnacentral:rRNA from 1 species
CUGGUUGAUCCUGCCAGUCGUCACAUGCUUGUCUCAAAGAUUAAGCCAUGCAUGUCUAAGUACAGAUUCAUUGAAUGAAACCGCGAAUGGCUCAUUAAAUCAGUUAUGGUUUAUUAGAUCGUGCUCAUCAUAGUUGGAUAACUGUGGUAAUUCUAGAGCUAAUACAUGCAACAAGCCCUAACUUUACGAAGGGGCGCUUUUAUUAGAUCAAAACCAAUCCGGGCAACCGGUUGUUGUGAUGACUCAGGAUAACUUUCAGCCGACCGCAUGGCCUUGCGCCGGCGGCGUAUCUUUCAAAUGUCUGCCCUAUCAACUUUCGAUGGUAGGUGAUAUGCCUACCAUGGUUGUAACGGGUAACGGAGAAUCAGGGUUCGAUUCCGGAAGGGAGCCUGAGAAACGGCUACCACAUCCAAGGAAGGCAGCAGGCGCGCAAAUUACCCACUCCCGGCACGGGGAGGUAGUGACGAAAAAUAACAAUGCUGGGCUACAAGUCCGGUAAUUGGAAUGAGUACACUUUAAAUCCUUUAACGAGGAUCUAGUGGAGGGCAAGUCUGGUGCCAGCAGCCGCGGUAAUUCCAGCUCCACGAGCAUGUACGUAAGUUGUUGCAGUUAAAAAGCUCGUAGUUGGAUCUCGGGCCGUUUGGCCGGUGGUCUGCCCGAUACGGGUAUGCACUGCCGUGCCCGGUCUAUUAUAUUUGGACUUUGUCGUCGUGUACUCUUAAUCGGGCGCGCGGCGAUACCAAAUGUUUUACUCUGAAAAAAUUAGAGUGCUUAAAGCAAGCCGUUGUGCUUGAAUACUGUUGCAUGGAAUAAUGGAAUAGGACCUCGGAUCUAUUUUGUUGGUUUUCGGAGUCGAGGUAAUGAUUAAGAGGGACAGACGGGGGCAUUCGUAUUGCGCCGUUAGAGGUGAAAUUCUUGGAUCGGCGCAAGACGAACAACUGCGAAAGCAUUUGCUAAGGAUGUUUUCAUUAAUCAAGAACGAAAGUCAGAGGUUCGAAGACGAUCAGAUACCGUCGUAGUUCUGACCAUAAACGAUGCCAACUGGCGAUCUGACAUAGUCUGGCUUCAACAAGGGCUUGUCAGGCAGCCUCCGGGAAACCUAAGUCUAUGGGUUCCGGGGGAAGUAUGGUUGCAAAGCUGAAACUUAAAGGAAUUGACGGAAGGGCACCACCAGGAGUGGAGCCUGCGGCUUAAUUUGACCCAACACGGGAAAACUCACCCGGCCAGGACACCGUAAGGAUUGACAGACUGAGAGCUCUUUCUUGAUUCGGUGGGUGGUGGUGCAUGGCCGUUCUUAGUUGGUGGAGUGAUUUGUCUGGUUAAUUCCGAUAACGAACGAGACUCUAGCCUGCUAAAUAGCCAGGCGAUCGCCUCGUGCGGUCGUCUGAACCAUAGCUUCUUAGAGGGACAAGUGGCGUUUUUAGCCACGC